rnacentral:rRNA from 1 species
UACGGAGGAUCCAAGCGUUAUCCGGAUUUAUUGGGUUUAAAGGGUGCGUAGGCGGCCUAUUAAGUCAGGGGCGAAAGACGGUAGCUUAACUAUCGCAGUGCCUUUGAUACUGAUGGGCUUGAAUGUACUUGAGGUAGGCGGAAUGUGACAAGUAGCGGUGAAAUGCAUAGAUAUGUCACAGAACACCAAUUGCGAAGGCAGCUUACUAAAGUAUGAUUGACGCUGAGGCACGAAAGCGUGGGGAUCAAACAGG